rnacentral:rRNA from 1 species
UGGAGAAUAUUGCACAAUGGAGGGAACUCUGAUGCAGCGACGCCGCGUGAACGAAGAAGGCUUUCGAGUCGUAAAGUUCUUUUAUAUGGGAAGAUAAUGACGGUACCAUAAGAAAAAGCCCCGGCUAACUACGUGCCAGCAGCCGCGGUAAUACGUAGGGGGCUAGCGUUGUCCGGAAUCACUGGGCGUAAAGGGUUCGCAGGCGGAAAUGCAAGUCAGGUGUAAAAGGCAGUAGCUUAACUACUGUAAGCAUUUGAAACUGCAUAUCUUGAGAAGAGUAGAGGUAAGUGGAAUUUUUAGUGUAGCGGUGAAAUGCGUAGAUAUUAAAAAGAAUACCGGUGGCGAAGGCGACUUACUGGGCUCAUUCUGACGCUGAGGAACGAAAGCGUGGGUAGCAAACAGG